rnacentral:rRNA from 1 species
UACGGAAGGGGCAAGCGUUGUUCGGAAUCAUUGGGCGUAAAGGGCGCGUAGGCGGUCGCGUGUGUCUGCUGUGAAAGCGCACGGCUCAACCGUGUGAAGUCGGUAGAAACUGUGGGACUUGAGGCUGGGAGAGGUUGGUGGAAUUCCCUGUGUAGCGGUGAAAUGCGUAGAUAUAGGGGAGAACACUCGUGGCGAAGGCGGCCAGCUGGACCAGCCCUGACGCUGAGGCGCGACAGCGUGGGGAGCAAACAGG